AGCAGUAUGGUGUAAUGAUGCACGCGGGAUUUUCUCACCUGGAGGAGAAAAUAGGUUAUUCCUGAGGUCCUUGUUCGAGUCAAGGUACUGCUC